UGCAUUUAGUCUCCAUCCGACAUCAAACGGCACUCACGACACCCGACAGCGAAACGACGCCUCCGCAAACGCGCAGAAGGAGAGAGAGAGAGAGAGAGAGAGAGAGAGAGAGAGAGAGGAGGUCAAGAAAGGAAAUCAUCCGCAACCCUAUGAAGAGCGGGAAGAAGAAGCCCGAAACUACGGUGGAGGAAGGCGACGGAGUUGAGGAGCGCAGAGGCGACGCCGGAGGAGAAGAGGAGAAAGGAGGACGAGAAGAAGAAGGGGAGAGGUUGGGGAAGGAGGAGGAACGAGGUGAGGUUCCGAGACUGGAGGAAGGUUUCUACGAGAUCGAAGGCAUCAGGAAGAAGCGAGUGCGCAAGGGUCAAAUCCAAUACCUUAUCAAAUGGCGAGGAUGGCCGGAGACUGCCAACACCUGGGAGCCCUUCGAGAACAUUCAAUCCUGUGCCGAUGUCAUCGAAGCAUUCGAAGAGAGGUCAGCCUUUCCCCGUCGCCGCUUUAAAAAAAUAGCUCUUUGUGGAGGACUUCUCCUUCUUGUUGUACAUCUUUUACUUUCUUUUUUUGGCGAACAUGAGAUCUUCCGAUGGGCGGGCAGGUCGAGGUCGCCGAGGUCGCGGAAACGCAAGCGGAGGCCCGGCGGUCCGUAUGGCAUGGCGGCCCACAAGAAGCGCUCCAUCGAGACCGAGGAAUCAAAAACGGCACCGAAUCAGAACUUACCGACUCAGAAUGGUGCCAGUGGCACGGCGGUGGCGUGUGCAGAUGCUGAUAAAACCCAUGAGCAAGUUGGAAAGAGAGUGGUUGUGGACGAGGAGGUAGGAGACUUGAAAAAGAAGACAAGGACAGAGAAAGUCAAGGCGAUCACUUCUAGAAGUAGACGGGGUGAUGGACAGAACCCGGAGCUUCUUAAUUCAGCAGAUCAGAUAGAGACCAAUGGGCACGAUUCUGUGAAACCUUCUGGGGGGCAGGAGGACGGUUCCAUGGAUGGGUUCUCAAAGGUUGAAAGUACUCAGGCUUCUCAGGGCAAUGUAGCAACCGGUGCAAAGAGGAGGAAAUCUGGGUGUGUGAAGAGGUUCCAGCAAGGUUCUGCAACAGGUCAUUGGGACGAGCAAAAGAACGCAUCUGUGAGGAGGGAAACUGGAUCUGGUGGCAAAGGUGAGAAAUCAGGGAAUAAAAACGUUGUUUCUGAAUUAGACAACAAGAAUAAGUUGGAUGAUACUGGAAAGCCACCUUCAAUCACAAAGCUCCUAGUGCCAGUUCGCUUCUUUGCUUCCGUGACAAACAAUGUGCAGCAAGUGUCUAUAACGUUCAAGGCUCUAAGUGAACCUUUUGUAAUUUUGCAGUUUGCAAUGUGAUAAUUAUAUCAGCAUCAAUAGCAUUGGUGUCUAAUCGUUUAUAGAAGGAGGAUUAAAUUUCUCAUGUCUUGGGAUCAGUUCCUUUUAGGACUUUGAUCUGAUGGAAAAGAAGUAUUCGUGGAUGACAAAGAACUAAAAGCUACCAACCCAUUAUUGCUAAUCAGUUUCUAUGAGCAACAUCUUCGCUAUAGUCCAAAUCAAUGAUCCCUUCAUAAAAGGGUUGAAUAUUCAUUCAUCAAGCUUGCUGGAGCUGAAGAACAUGAUGCAUAGGUUCCCGAUGCCUCAACCUUGUACUCGGCACAGUUUUGUAUGUAGAACAUUACUCCGACUUGAACUAGUUUUCUUGGCUUCUCAGACCAAAGCCUUCUCCCAUGCUCUAAGCUUGUGUUCUUUUGCAACAUCGGCAACCAACCAGCUGUUGUGUUUCAGAAUCAGAUAUUGUCUGUAUCCCUUACAUGCUAUAUGGUUGUGUACAUAACUCUAUGAUCCAAUUUUGAGACACUGAUAGAUCCAACCAAAGGUUCUGCA